rnacentral:rRNA from 1 species
AGAAUAAAAACAUUCAAAAUAAAUAUAAAAAUAAAAUUACUUUUAAAUUCUAAAAAAAUUUCAAAAAAAAAUGACAAAAUCAAAAAUAACUCAUAAAAACUAGGAAAAACUAAAUCUUAAUCUGAAAUUUUAAACAAUUAAAUCAAAAACAUAAAUUAAACAACGAUAUAUAAACCCCAACCAAGUAAAAUUAAUCGUGUAAAAUCAAAUUAAUAUACAAGUUCCUCUAAAAACAGCUCACCGCCACCAAAUUUAACUUUAAUAAACCAAUUAAUAAUCAAAAAAAUAAAAAUAAAAGGGUAUCUAAUCCUAAUUUCAAAAAUUAAAUUAAAAGAACAAAAAGAAAAAAACAAAUAUUCAUUUCACAAAAAAACAAAAAACAAAAAAAAACAAAAAUCUCAAAAACAAAAUUAUCAUUUAAUUAAAUUGU